AGAGACCAUACCAAAACCAUAACAAGAUAGAUCGUGGUCCAUGGAUUUCAAGGUCUGUAUUUCUCGUUUUCUUUGGAUUGUCUUGAUCAUCGUUUUGGCUUAUGGACAUGGAGCAGGAGCAGAUCGCGUAAUUGAUCCUGUUCCAAAUCCUGGAACCGAUUCUCCUCAUAACAGACACUUGUUAGAAACUGUUCGAGGAUCUUGAAUGAUGAUCAUAAUUAAUCACAAUACAGGACUAUAGUAAGUCCUGGGUAUUUUCAUAUUCUUGAGAAAUUGUAAUCUUUCAUCCUUAUUGAAUCCAUCUUUAUAAACAUGAUUUUGCUCUUGGAUGUGAUUUCUAGUCCAAGAGCUUGAAUAAAUAUCAUAAUCAAAAUACUGUAGUACUACAUAUCCUCUAAUUUCUGUGUAUUAUUAUCCAUUUGUUAUCCUUGUUGAAUC